UACAGAGGGUGCGAGCGUUGUCCGGAAUCACUGGGCGUAAAGGGCGCGUAGGCGGCGCGGGGAGUCAACGGUGAAAGCUCGGCGCUCAACGCCGAGUCGGCCGUCGAUACUCCCGUGCUCGAGCACUGUAGAGGCAGGUGGAAUUCCGGGUGUAGCGGUGGAAUGCGUAGAGAUCCGGAAGAACACCGGUGGCGAAGGCGGCCUGCUGGGCAGUAGCUGACGCUGAGGCGCGAAAGCGUGGGGAGCGAACAGG
rnacentral:rRNA from 1 species